GUACUGGAUUAUCUCUAGCGAGGUCCAGCCUAUUCUCUACCACACGCGAGGUCUCAAAUCUGGCCCCUGAUCUAAGCGUGCUAUUCUCUACUGUAGAUAAAGUGACAGCCACUGCGAGGACCCCUUUGCUCAAGGGAAACCCGCGGUGGCGUAGUGGCAAAUGGCUCCCACCGUCCUUCAGGCGUAUAUCGCCUGCGGAGUUGGUUUAGGUCUUCGGAUCAGGAGGGAUGCCAUCACUGAAAAGUCUGCCCGUCGCUUUUUCUUUACCCGAGCGCGUUAAUGGACCAAGGGUACGGUACCUCGAGGCAAUUUGAAAUGAGUUGCCUCUGUCGUGUGUUUAUAUAUCUAUUUGCCUUGUAGCCCGCGGGUUUUCUGAACCUUUGCGUAUGGGCGGGCGUCUACUCUCACUUGGUCAGCACUUGCUGAACGAUUUUUCUCCCUUGGGGAAUCGAUCCUAUGCCAACUCCUGGACCCCCUGUUUAUGUGUACCCUUCGUUUCCUCGGCAGGCUUGCCUGCCAAUGGGGACUCUAACAAACUCUUUUUGUAGUUGCAGUGUCAGUAGAAUUAUCAAUCUUAUAAAACUUUCAACAACGGAUUCUUGGUUCUGGCAUCGAUGAAGAACGCAGCGAAAUGCGAUAAGUAGUGUGAAUUGCAGAAUUCAGUGAAUCAUCGAAUCUUUGAACGCACAUUGCGCCCUUUGGUAUUCCAUAGGGCAUGCCUGUUCGAGCGUCGUUUCAAACCUUCAAGCCUAGCUUGAUGUUGGGUGUUGUCCCGCGUCCUGCGUGGACUCGCCUUAAAACCAUUGGCAGCAGACAUCGUGGCUAAUUGCGCAGCAGAUACUAAAAGGCGUUGGAUGUCGGCUCUCCACGAGUGUAGCCUUUUCUGUCAGUUGCCUGCCCCUUCCCCCCC
rnacentral:rRNA from 1 species